UGAAAAGCAGAAGCAGCUGGGUGGAGGAGAGGCCAUUUUAUCAGUAACCAAUAGGUUGCUGUGCUCCACUGACCUUGAAGUCAAUACCAGUGCCAAGAGCUUACUGUCUGCUGUUUCUUCUUGCGUUAUUGGUUUGAGGACCAUAAAAAUGUCAGGGAUUUACUAUAAAUCACAAUUCAGUUGGGUUUUGUUGUCUUGGUGUUGUGUUUUUUUUUGUUUUUUUUUUUCUUAAGCUGAGUCUGGCCAUAUUCAUUUGUGAAUUGCAGGCCAGCAGUUAGCAAAAUCUGUCUCAUUACCUUUUCCAUGGCGCUUUGUGAUCUUUUUAAUAGGGAACUUCAUGUUUCUGUGCUCAUUUUGGUAGUGCUGGGAUUUAGGUGGGGGGUGGCUGCUAGGAUGGGGAAGAAAGUGUGUUUGUUCCUUGCCUGCCUUUCUGAAUCCAGGUCCUAGGACUGGAAUACAUAGUCCACUGAGUAUUUCCAGUAGAAGGAGCCUCGAGGAGAUGACCCUUCAACCUGGUCUGCCGAAAGCCCCACAGAUUUGCUGCAUACCAUGAUGUACGCCAUGAGCUCAGUCUGCUCCCCAGCCCUGAGGUGUGGCAUCAGGAAACACAGUGGCACUAUUGAUGUGGCACUUUGUCCUAGCAGAAUUCAGAGGAAUUUCUCCUAGAAGCCUUCCUGGGCACAUGUGUGCUCUGCAGGAGGGGGCAGAGCCUUGCAGUAUCUUCCUCCCCUCUUGGUUGCAGGCCACCAGAAACCCAAACCAGGAACACAACCCCAAGGGAAUCAUUUUCACUUGGACUCUCAGGAACCUUAUCCCCUGCGUAGGUGAAAGAUGAUGCAAUGCUGACAUGGAUUCUGCUGCCUCCUGCUUCUGUGGGGCACCUUCAACUCUGACUGAGGGGUUAUUGCAGCAAGCAAUGGUCACUUCAUUUAACCAGUUAAAGGGGUGGUUACUUUUUAGCUGAUAGUAUGGAAAUCUUAUACUUCCAGCAGUUCUCACUGAGACGUAUUAAAAGUACUUUGAAUCCUCGGGAAACUGUCUGGUCUUUAAUAUAUCUUCGCUAGCAAAUUUAACAGAAAACAUUUUAUAUGAAUUGUCCAGUGCUUUUUUUUUAUAUGCCUGCCCCUCCCUUCUGAAAAACAAUGUUGGUUUUCUUAUUUUCCUAAUUAUUAUUUUUUUAAAAGAAAACACAACAAAAACAAAACGUGGAAAAUAAUUACAUAGAUCUUUUAGGGAUAAAACCCUUGGAAGAAAUCAGCGAGAAUUACACCUUCUGUGUGAAAUAGCAGCAAUUAGGACAGGCGCCCUCCUCUAACUCUGAGCCAGGCAGCCUGGGUGACAAAUAUGUCAAAUUAAUACAUCACCAGGUAUGAAAGCGCAGUUAGAAUUUGACUGAGGUACUUCCAGCCUGAGAAAGGGAACGAUUUAUCAAUGCAAACUUAAUAACAUCUAUUUGAAUCUAACUAAAAAUCAAUAUUUCAUUACCAAAUUGUUAGUGAGAAUGAAGAAAAAUUGCGGAAGUCGGGCAGUUUGGUGGAAGAGAAGCAUCAGGAGUUCA
ensembl:lncRNA